rnacentral:rRNA from 1 species
AUUGAACGCUGGCGGCAGGCCUAACACAUGCAAGUCGAGCGGAUGAAGGGAGCUUGCUCCUGGAUUCAGCGGCGGACGGGUGAGUAAUGCCUAGGAAUCUGCCUGGUAGUGGUGGAUAACGUCCUGAAACGGGCGCUAAUACCGCAUACGUCCUGAGGGAGAAAGUGGGGGAUCUUCGGACCUUACGCUAUCAGAUGAGCCUAGGUCGGAUUAGCUAGUUGGUGGGGUAAAGGCCUACCAAGGCGACGAUCCGUAACUGGUCUGAGAGGAUGAUCAGUCACACUGGAACUGAGACACGGUCCAGACUCCUACGGGAGGCAGCAGUGGGGAAUAUUGGACAAUGGGCGAAAGCCUGAUCCAGCCAUGCCGCGUGUGUGAAGAAGGUCUUCGGAUUGUAAAGCACUUUAAGUUGGGAGGAAGGGCAGUAAGUUAAUACCUCGCUGUUUUGACGUUACCAACAGAAUAAGCACCGGCUAACUUCGUG